AGCGAACGCUGGCGGCAGGCCUAACACAUGCAAGUCGAACGGAUCCUUCGGGAUUAGUGGCGGACGGGUGAGUAACACGUGGGAACGUGCCCUUAGGUACGGAACAACACAGGGAAACUUGUGCUAAUACCGUAUGUGCCCUUCGGGGGAAAGAUUUAUCGCCUUUGGAGCAGCCCGCGUUGGAUUAGGUAGUUGGUGAGGUAAAGGCUCACCAAGCCGACGAUCCAUAGCUGGUCUGAGAGGAUGACCAGCCACACUGGGACUGAGACACGGCCCAGACUCCUACGGGAGGCAGCAGUAGGGAAUCUUGCGCAAUGGGCGAAAGCCUGACGCAGCCAUGCCGCGUGUAUGAUGAAGGUCUUAGGAUUGUAAAAUACUUUCACCGGGGAAGAUAAUGACGGUACCCGGAGAAGAAGCCCCGGCUAACUUCGUGCCAGCAGCCGCAGUAA
rnacentral:rRNA from 1 species